rnacentral:rRNA from 1 species
AGAGUUUGAUCAUGGCUCAGGAUGAACGCUGGCGGCGUGCCUAACACAUGCAAGUCGAGCGAUUCACUUCGGUGAAGAGCGGCGGACGGGUGAGUAACGCGUGGGUAACCUGCCUCAUACACAUGGAUAACAUACCGAAAGGUAUGCUAAUACAAGAUGAUAUAAGAGAUUCGCAUGGAUUUCUUAUCAAAGCUCCGGCGGUAUGAGAUGGACCCGCGUCUGAUUAGCUAGUUGGUAAGGUGACGGCUUACCAAGGCGACGAUCAGUAGCCGACCUGAGAGGGUGAUCGGCCACAUUGGAACUGAGACACGGUCCAAACUCCUACGGGAGGCAGCAGUGGGGAAUAUUGCACAAUGGGCGAAAGCCUGAUGCAGCAACGCCGCGUGAGCGAUGAAGGCCUUCGGGUCGUAAAGCUCUGUCCUCAAGGAAGAUAAUGACGGUACUUGAGGAGGAAGCCCCGGCUAACUACGUGCCAGCAGCCGCGGUAAUACGUAGGGGGCUAGCGUUAUCCGGAUUUACUGGGCGUAAAGGGUGCGUAGGCGGUUUCUUAAGUCAGGAGUGAAAGGCUACGGCUCAACCGUAGUAAGCUCUUGAAACUGGGAAACUUGAGUGCAGGAGAGGAAAGUGGAAUUCCUAGUGUAGCGGUGAAAUGCGUAGAUAUUAGGAGGAACACCAGUAGCGAAGGCGGCUUUCUGGACUGUAACUGACACUGAGGCACGAAAGCGUGGGGAGCAAACAGGAUUAGAUACCCUGGGUAGUCCACGCCGUAAACGAUGAGUACUAGGUGUCGGGGGUUACCCCCCUCGGUGCCGCAGCUAACGCAUUAAGUACUCCGCCUGGGGAGUACGCUCGCAAGAGUGAAACUCAAAGGAAUUGACGG